GUGCGCGUAACUUUCUCGCAUUAAGUUGCAAGGGGGAGGGGAAUGGGUCCCCUCCGGUUGCGUCGCGCGGAAGG
rfam:Olsenella sp. An285 An285_contig_5, whole genome shotgun sequence.